rnacentral:rRNA from 1 species
GACGAACGCUGGCGGCGUGCUUAACACAUGCAAGUCGAACGGAAAGGCCCUGCUUUUGUGGGGUGCUCGAGUGGCGAACGGGUGAGUAACACGUGAGUAACCUGCCCUUGACUUUGGGAUAACUUCAGGAAACUGGGGCUAAUACCGGAUAGGAGCUCCUGCUGCAUGGUGGGGGUUGGAAAGUUUCGGCGGUUGGGGAUGGACUCGCGGCUUAUCAGCUUGUUGGUGGGGUAGUGGCUUACCAAGGCUUUGACGGGUAGCCGGCCUGAGAGGGUGAACGGCGACAUUGGGACUGAGAUACGGCGCAGACUCCUACGGGAGGCAGCAGUGGGGAAUAUUGCACAAUGGGCGGAAGCCUGAUGCAGCAACGCCGCGUGCGGGAUGACGGCCUUCGGGUUGUAAACCGCUUUCGCCUGUGACGAAGCGUGAGUGACGGUAAUGGGUAAAGAAGCACCGGCUAACUACGUG